rnacentral:rRNA from 1 species
GAUGAACGCUGGCGGCGUGCCUAAUACAUGCAAGUCGAGCGAACGGACGUGAAGCUUGCUUCUCUGAUGUUAGCGGCGGACAGGUGAGUAACACGUGGAUAACCUCCCUAUAACACUGGGAUAACUUCGGGAAACCGGAGCUAAUACAGGGUAAUCGUUUUAACCGCAUGGUUCAAAAGUGAAAGACGGUCUUGCUGUCACUUAUACUUGGAUCGGAGCUGCAUUAGCUAGUUGGUAAGGUAACGGCUUACCAAGGCAACGAUGCAUGGCAGACCUGAGAGGUGGACGGCCCCCACGGGAAUGGGACCACGGUCAGGACUCUUCCGGGAGGAAGCAGUGGGGAAUCUUCGGCAAUGGGCGAAGUCCUGCCGGAGCAACGCCGCGGGAGUGAUGAAGGUCUUCGGAUCGUAAACCUCUGUUAUUAGGGAAGAACAUAUGUGUACGUAAAUGUGCACGGCUUGACGGUACCUAAUCAGAAAGCCACGGCUAACUACGUG